UACAGAGGUCUCAAGCGUUGUUCGGAUUCAUUGGGCGUAAAGGGUGCGUAGGCGGCGCGGUAAGUCGGGUGUGAAAUCUUGGAGCUUAACUCCGAAACUGCAUUCGAUACUGCCGUGCUUGAGGACUGGAGAGGAGACUGGAAUUUACGGUGUAGCGGUGAAAUGCGUAGAUAUCGUAAGGAAGACCAAUGGCGAAGGCGGCCAGCUGGGCGUGAUCUGACGCUGAGGCGCGAAGGCGUGGGGAGCGAACAGG
rnacentral:rRNA from 1 species